rnacentral:lncRNA from 1 species
CCCUGCUCCCGCCCGGGCACCCACCGCUCCUUCCCCUCCGGGCCGUCCUCGUCCAGGCUUAGGAGCAGGGUGAAUCCUGGGUCCGAGUCCUGCUGGAGCAGCCUGGCAGGGAUGGCGGAGCCCUAUUACAUGGCACAGAGGGUGGCUGGCUUCCAGCUCGUCAGUAUCUGGAUGGACUUGGUCAUGGAUCAGGAUCCUGUUAUGCCAAAUGUGGAUCACAUCCCAUGGUUUUCCUCACAGAACUUAUCAUCUGAAUAGACUGCGUCAACAGAUCUUCCUUAGGGUAGAGUACAUCUGGACUGGAAAGAUUAAACAACAAGAACAGCCUUUUUUGUUAUGAGUUAUACUCAAAAAAUAUAAAUAUAACUUAAAAAGUCAUACUUAUUUAAGAGUGAAACGAACUGUAUCUGUGC